GGGCCCGCACAAGCGGUGGAGCAUGUGGUUUAAUUCGAUGCAACGCGAAGAACCUUACCUACUCUUGACAUCCAGAGAAGCCAGCGGAGACGCAGGUGUGCCUUCGGGAACUCUGAGACAGGUGCUGCAUGGCUGUCGUCAGCUCGUGUUGUGAAAUGUUGGGUUAAGUCCCGCAACGAGCGCAACCCUUAUCCUUGUUUGCCAGCGAGUAAUGUCGGGAACUCCAGGGAGACUGCCGGUGAUAAACCGGAGGAAGGUGGGGACGACGUCAAGUCAUCAUGGCCCUUACGAGUAGGGCUACACACGUGCUACAAUGGCGCAUACAGAGGGCGGCCAACUUGCGAAAGUGAGCGAAUCCCAAAAAAGUGCGUCGUAGUCCGGAUUGGAGUCUGCAACUCGACUCCAUGAAGUCGGAAUCGCUAGUAAUCG
rnacentral:rRNA from 1 species